AACGAACGCUGGCGGCAUGCCUAACACAUGCAAGUCGAACGAGACCUUCGGGUCUAGUGGCGCACGGGUGCGUAACGCAUGGGAACCUGCCCUUAGGUUCGGAAUAACUCCCCGAAAGGGGUGCUAAUACCGGAUAAUGUCUUCGGACCAAAGAUUUAUCGCCUUUGGAUGGGCCCGCGUUGGAUUAGCUAGUUGGUAGGGUAAAAGCCUACCAAGGCGACGAUCCAUAGCUGGUCUGAGAGGAUGAUCAGCCACACUGGGACUGAGACACGGCCCAGACUCCUACGGGAGGCAGCAGUGGGGAAUAUUGGACAAUGGGCGAAAGCCUGAUCCAGCAAUGCCGCGUGAGUGAUGAGGGCCUUAGGGUUGUAAAGCUCUUUUACCCGGGAUGAUAAUGACAGUACCGGGAGAAUAAGCUCCGGCUAACUCCGUG
rnacentral:rRNA from 1 species